UACGUAGGCAGCAAGCGUUGUUCGGAAUUACUGGGCGUAAAGCGUGCGCAGGCGGUUCGUUGUGUCGGUGGUGAAAGCCCCGGGCUUAACCUGGGAAUGGCCGUCGAAACUGGCGAACUGGAGUGUGGCAGAGGGGGGUGGAAUUCCGCGUGUAGCAGUGAAAUGCGUAGAGAUGCGGAGGAACACCGAUGGCGAAGGCAGCCCCCUGGGCUGACACUGACGCUCAGGCACGAAAGCGUGGGGAGCAAACAGG
rnacentral:rRNA from 1 species